CGCCAAAUUGAUAUAGGAAAUGACUGUUUCAUAAUGUUAUUUAUAAAUUCCAAAAAUCCUAAAUCUUUACCAGAGUGUCGGUUGUUGGGCUCAGGUCCAUAUGUGAACUCUUUAGUUAUGGAAAAGAAAUAGCAAGCAAUGGAUGAAGGACAAAACAAUUCUAGAAAAUCUUACAUCCAUUCUAGAGACCCAACUACCAAAGCCCCCAGAUGUCCAGAAGAAUGAUCAGCAAGUUGAAUGUGGAAUUUGUUAUGCCCAAUGUCUUCCAAUUGAUCAUUUAAUGUCCUGUUUGGGAAUUGUC
rnacentral:misc_RNA from 1 species